UACGUAGGGGGCAAGCGUUGUCCGGAUUUAUUGGGCGUAAAGAGCGUGUAGGCGGCCAGACAGGUCCGUUGUGAAAACUCGAGGCUCAACCUCGAGAUGUCGAUGGAAACCGUUUGGCUAGAGUCCGGAAGAGGAGUGUGGAAUUCCUGGUGUAGCGGCGAAAUGCGCAGAUAUCAGGAAGAACACCUAUGGCGAAGGCAGCACUCUGGGACGGUACUGACGCUGAGACGCGAAAGCGUGGGGAGCGAACAGG
rnacentral:rRNA from 1 species